CAUGAUUUUACAAUAAAAAUUGCCGGUAUUUCAAGCGCAAAUGAGACCUUGCAUAUCCUCGAUUCAUACAACGAAAAAUUAGAGAAGACCCGAAUGAAAACCGAAUGGUUUAAGAGUCCUUAUGAAAAAUCCGUUGUCAUCGCGGCAUAUGCCGCGAAUAGCAGUGGCGGACGGCGUAUGUCAUCGCGGCAUAUGCCGUGUAUAGCGUUGAAAGGGUUAAAG
rnacentral:lncRNA from 1 species